GGCGGGGUAGCUCAGCUGGUUAGAGCGCAGGAUUCAUAAUCCUGAGGUCGGGGGUUCGAGCCCCCCCCCCCGCUA
rnacentral:tRNA from 1 species